rnacentral:rRNA from 1 species
GACAGAGGAUGCAAGUGUUAUCCGGAAUCACUGGGCGUAAAGCGUCUGUAGGUGGUUUCAAAAGUCCACUGUUAAAGAUUGAAGCUUAACUUCAAAAAUGCCGUGGAAACUUUGAAACUUGAGUAUGAUAGGGGUAGAGGGAAUUUCCAGUGGAGCGGUGAAAUGCGUAGAUAUUGGAAAGACCACCAAUGGCGAAGGCACUCUACUGGGCCAUUACUGACACUGAGAGACGAAAGCUAGGGGAGCAAAUGGG